rnacentral:rRNA from 1 species
GACGAACGCUGGCGGCGCGCUUAACACAUGCAAGUCGAACGGAAAGGCCUGCUUUCCCUUGUGGAUUGCGGGUACUCGAGUGGCGAACGGGUGAGUAACACGUGAGUGAUCUGCCCCCAACUUGGGUAUAAGCCUGGGAAACUGGGUCUAAUUCCCGAUAGGACUGCAGGGUGGUGCCUGUGGUGGAAAACGAUUUUCUAGUGGUUGGGGAUGAGCUCGCGGCCUAUCAGCUUGUUGGUGGGGUAAUGGCCUACCAAGGCGGCGACGGGUAGCCGGCCUGAGAGGGUGGACGGGCACAUUGGGACUGAGAUACGGCCCAGACUCCUACGGGAGGCAGCAGUGGGGAAUAUUGCACAAUGGGCGGAAGCCUGAUGCAGCGACGCCGCGUGGGGGAUGACGGCCUUCGGGUGGUAAACUCCUUUCGACCGCGAGGAAGCCACCUGGUUGGAAGGGUGGUGACGGUAGUGGUAGAAGAAGCACCGGCUAACUACGUG